rfam:Triticum aestivum genome assembly, contig: Triticum_aestivum_CS42_TGACv1_scaffold_097025_2AL
UAAAUACUCCCUCCGUCCGGAAAUACUUGUCAUCAAAAUGGAUUAAAGGAGAUGUAUCUAGACGUAUUUUAGUUCUAGAUACAUCCCUUUUCAUCCAUUUUGAUGACAACUAUUGAGGGAGUAUAAG